UACGGAGGGUGCAAGCGUUAAUCGGAAUUACUGGGCGUAAAGCGCGCGUAGGCGGCUGAUUAAGUCGGAUGUGAAAUCCCCGGGCUCAACCUGGGAACUGCAUACGAUACUGGUCGGCUAGAGUAUGAGAGAGGGAGGUAGAAUUCCACGUGUAGCGGUGAAAUGCGUAGAUAUGUGGAGGAAUACCAGUGGCGAAGGCGGCCUCCUGGCUCAAUACUGACGCUGAGGUGCGAAAGCGUGGGGAUCAAACAGG
rnacentral:rRNA from 1 species